GGGGAAUAUUGGACAAUGGGGGCAACCCUGAUCCAGCGAUGCCGCGUGAGUGAAGAAGGCCUUCGGGUUGUAAAACUCUUUCACCUGUGAUGAUGAUGACAGUAGCAGGAGAAGAAGCACCGGCUAACUCCGUGCCAGCAGCCGCGGUAAGACGGAGGGUGCUAGCGUUGUUCGGAAUGACUGGGCGUAAAGGGCGCGUAGGCGGUUUUAUCAGUCAGGCGUGAAAGCCCCGGGCUUAACCUGGGAACUGCGUUUGAUACUGUAGAACUUGAGAAUGGAAGAGGAAAGCGGAAUUCCUAGUGUAGAGGUGAAAUUCGUAGAUAUUAGGAGGAACACCAGAGGCGAAGGCGGCUUUCUGGUCCAUUACUGACGCUGAGGCGCGAAAGCGUGGGGAGCAAAC
rnacentral:rRNA from 1 species